rnacentral:rRNA from 1 species
UACCGGCAGCUCUAGUGGUAGCAAUUUUUAUUGGGCCCUAAAGCGUCCGUAGCCGGUUUAAUAAGUCUCUGGUGAAAUCCUGUAGCUUAACUGUGGGAAUUGCUGGAGAUACUAUUAGACUUGAGACCGGGAGAGGUUAGAGGUACUCCCAGGGUAGAGGUGAAAUUCUGUAAUCCUGGGAGGACCGCCUGUUGCGAAGGCGUCUAACUGGAACGGUUCUGACGGUGAGGGACGAAAGUUAGGGGCGCGAACCGGAUUAGAUACCCCCGUAGUCC